rnacentral:tRNA from 4 species
GGAGGAGUACCCAAGAGGCUUAAGGGGGCGCACUCGAAAUGCGUUAGGGGUAGUAGACCUGCCCGCGUGGGUUCAAAUCCCACCUUCUCCGCCA